rnacentral:rRNA from 1 species
CUUUAACGCUGGCGGCAUGCCUUACACAUGCAAGUCGAACGGUAACAGGUCUUCGGAUGCUGACGAGUGGCGAACGGGUGAGUAAUACAUCGGAACGUGCCCGAUCGUGGGGGAUAACGAAGCGAAAGCUUUGCUAAUACCGCAUACGAUCUACGGAUGAAAGCAGGGGACCGCAAGGCCUUGCGCGAACGGAGCGGCCGAUGGCAGAUUAGGUAGUUGGUGGGAUAAAAGCUUACCAAGCCGACGAUCUGUAGCUGGUCUGAGAGGACGACCAGCCACACUGGGACUGAGACACGGCCCAGACUCCUACGGGAGGCAGCAGUGGGGAAUUUUGGACAAAGGGCGAAAGCCUGAUCCAGCCAUGCCGCGUGCAGGAUGAAGGCCUUCGGGUUGUAAACUGCUUUUGUACGGAACGAAAAGACUCUGGUUAAUACCUGGGGUCCAUGACGGUACCGUAAGAAUAAGCACCGGCUAACUACGUG